rnacentral:rRNA from 1 species
GAGUUUGAUCAUGGCUCAGGACGAACGCUGGCGGCGUGCUUAACACAUGCAAGUCGAACGAUGAAGCCCAGCUUGCUGGGUGGAAGAGUGGCGAACGGGUGAGUAACACGUGAGUAACCUGCCUAUCACUCUGGGAUAAGCGCUGGAAACGGCGUCUAAUACUGGAUACGACCUACCAUCGCAUGGUGUGUGGGUGGAAAGAUUUAUCGGUGGUAGAUGGACUCGCGGCCUAUCAGCUUGUUGGUGAGGUAAUGGCUCACCAAGGCGACGACGGGUAGCCGGCCUGAGAGGGUGAUCGGCCACACUGGGACUGAGACACGGCCCAGACUCCUACGGGAG